rnacentral:rRNA from 1 species
GGGUCAGUAGGUUGGUCGUGCCACCGGUACGUACUGGUCUCACUGAUUCCUCCUUCCUGAAGAACCGUAAUGCCAUUAAUUAGGUGUUGCGGGGAAACAGGACUGUUACUUUGAAAAAAUUAGAGUGUUUAAAGCAAGCUAACGCUUGAAUACAUUAGCAUGGAAUAAUGAAAUAGGACGAUCGAUCCUAUUUUGUUGGUUUCUAGGAUUGACGUA